GCCCGGCACGGCACGGCCCCGCCGAGCCCCCUCCGCUCGGCUGCCGCUGGGCCGCUGGGGGCGGCUGCCCGGCGAGCGCUCGUUUUCCUUCUGCGCUUAAUUCAUUAAUUAUUUUUUUUAAUUUUUUUUUUUUUUUUCUCCCCGGGGGGGGGUGCGAUGCGAUCGCUGCCCGCCCCUCUCCUCCUCCUCCUCCUCCCUCCCCCCCCCCCCCUCGCGGCUCAUUCACGGCCCCGCGGCCGCCGCCAGCCGCGGGCGGGCCCCGUGACGUCAGCGCCAGACGGGGGCUGCCCCUCGCGCCGCCCCCCCCCUCCCCGCCCCCCCCCUCCCUCCCCGUAACCCCCCCCCAGGGCCCCGCUCGCCCCGAGCCCCCCCCGAGCCGCAGUCUCCCCGGGGGACCCCCCCUGGGAGGGUCCCGACGAGGCGACCGGGGGAUUUGGGGGGAAAAAUGCGGGUUUUAGGGGCGGGGGGGGGGCUCGCCGCGAUGUUUGCUGUCGCGGACCCCAAAACGCGCGGAUUUUGGGUGGGUUUUGGUCGUCCCGGGAACGGAGCCCGGCUGCUUCUAGCGAGGGGAAAUGAACCUGAGGAAACGGGGGGGGUUAUAAUGCAAACGCUGGAAGCAGCCUCGCAGCGCUGGGGCGAAGGAGCUGCUGCUGGGUGAACGCAGCUCCCAGGAGGUGCAGACAGCCCUGGCACCUUCCUGGGGUGCCCUCCCCCCGAGAGCCCCCCCAGCCGGGAUUUAGGGUCGGGGACGGGAGAGGAGCCCCCAGGACUGCGCUGAGGGGGCCAAGUGCCCCCCAUGGAAACCCCGACCCCUGUGCAAAGCCGGAGGUGGACGGAUGGUGCCAAGGCUGGUGCCGCUUUGCUCUUGGGGAAGCUUCAAUUUUGAUUCCCCUCCCCAAAAAUCGCCUUUCUUUCUCCACGAUUAUUUACAAACCAACGCUAAGCAAGCGCCUGCGCUUCACAAAGCCUCCGGAGGCCCCGUCUGGUCCUGAGAAAACGCCCAGAGAGGAGGAACGAGGAAUUGCCAGGUUGUUUAAUCUUUUACUCCUUGCCACCCGCCAGAUGGUAACUCCCAGCGCUUACUAAUCCGCAGGAGCCACGGCGGAGGAUCGCGCCUCUUGGGUGGAAGCGAGCUUCGAGGUUUGGCUUCCCGGUGCUGCUCGGAGGCACUGCUGAAGCCCAGGAGCCCGGGGAGUGAUGUGGAAGCCCCCCUGGAAGCCCCUCCUGGAGCUCACUCCACGGGCGGCAGCCUCAGCCCGUGGGGAGCACGGGUGGGUGCUGGGGGCUCAGGGCCCACUCAGCCCCUCCCCAGGCUGUGGCGAGGUGCUGGAAAGAAAUCAUGGCCGUGACUGCCAUCAGUGGUGGCAAGCACAGGGAGCGUCCAGGAGAAGCAGCUUGCCAAAAAUUACCUGGAAAAAAAACCUACACGAGGAGCGGGAACGAAGCACUUCCAACCCUAUUUUUAUAUCCCGCUCCCAGCUUCGCUUUCCUUAUCCGUGGCGUGGGAGGAGUGACGCUCACCUGCCUUUGGGCUUCGUCCCUUCCACUUGGUACUGAAAUUGCAGUUUCUCUUAUGCCAGGCAAAUUUCUCGAAAUGCUGUGUGAGGAGGCGAGGAGUGGGCCAAGGGCCUGCCCACCUCAGGAGGGCCAGCUCGCAGGGCAGAGCAAGGCACACGCAGCCAUCCGGGCCGUGCACCCACCUCAGACAGCGCCACAUGCUGCCCCACGCUGUUAUUAUUCAGCUGGAGUCGCGGUGGUGUCGUAAAGCAAAUGGCGACUGAGUAUCAGAGACACAAACCCAACAUUUUAGAUUUUUUCUGACAUUUUAAGACACAGACGCAGCCCGUCCUAAAAUGAUCAUAAGGACGCGAAUGCAACUAUAAGUAAUAAAUUCUUCUUUACUGUCAUGUCCAAGGCCUGACUACAGGAUUUUGUGUCCUCUCUCCAUCCCGGGUGCCUUCUGCAUCCCCCAGGGCUUCACCCGGCCACCCAGGCACAAGCAGAGGGGUCAGGGCGGGUGGGCAGGAGGAGCCCUGGGCCGAGCGCCCGGUGCAAGGCGUCCGCCCUCACCGUGAAUCAGCCUGCUGGUUCGGGGGCAGUUUUUACAAGUUUGCCGAGCUUUGGUGGAGGGAGGCUCCAGUUUCAGAUGCAGGCCGAUGCAAGUUCACACAUCGUCCUAGCCCUCCUGAAAAAAAAAAUAAAGAGAAAAGAAAAAUAACUGUUUGCAAGUCGAUGCUGGUUUAAAAAUGCGCUGUUUACCACUAACCCAUUUCAUCUGAACGACUCACGUGGCUGUAAGAACAAUCAGCAUUUUUCCACCAUGAUUUAAGAACAAAUAAUUAAAGUCAUCCCAGAUGGGCUUGUAAAAAUUAGAGUACAUCAGCUCACUUGAACUGACUUAUCCUGUUCCUGGACCGACGCUACCCACCCUCCAACCCGCUGCAGUUUUUCCGAGCUUCUUCUGUACCAAGCACCGAGCGCUACCUGGCUGGUGCGACACUUCUGGACACCAACUUUUGUCGGUUUUGGCACCUGCGUCCUGUCACCGCUGAGCUUUUCUCAGUUUCUUUUUAUGUUCUCCCUAGAGGCACCGCUGCUGGCUCCAGGAAGCGCGUGGGCACCGCGAGAGCGGCGCUUCCUGCUUCUCCAGCUCCCAGGGUGAGCCGGGGCAGCUCUCUGCACCUCACCUCCUUCCACAGGGUGGAAAGGGAGGGACCCAGGGGAGCUUUCACAAGAUUUGAGGUCCUUGGACCAAGACACUUUGCUCUGCUCUGGGUUCUCGGGGCUGUAACAUCUCGCCGCUUGCCACACCAGCAGCCGCUCGUUUGCCUGUGCAGUCACGUUGGUGUCUGUGCUUUUAUUCCUCACGGCAGCACUUGAGCGUUAGUUAAAGAUUUGAAUGACCCUGCAUAAUCGCUGUAGUGCAACGCUAAGGAUAAAUUCAUAAACGUAAUUGGGAAGAGAGAUCCAUAUUAGAAGUAAGUAACCCUAAGAGUCAAAUCAUCUCCUUCCCAAAGUGGUUGGGGAGAUCUAAAGAAAAACAAAACAAAAAAUUCAACAACUCCCCAAAGAUUUGUUAACUAAACAGUUGUCCAUUAAGGAGCCCAAAUAUUUCACAGCAUUAGUCUUUGGAUUAA